rnacentral:lncRNA from 10 species
AGUAACUGGCAUUUGGUUAUGGGGUGGCUGUUUUUCUACGUGGACCAAGCAGGGUCCCAGUUCAAGUUUCUGCUGCCUAUCUGAUAAUCUUGAGAUUAAUGACAAAGGCUUUGAGUCAACAAACCUGUGGAUAAUUAACCUGGGCAGCCUUCCCAGAGAGAGCCAUCCUGCCUGCGAAUGAUCAAAGUAUUCAGUCCAGGUUUAAGUCCUUCAGCAUCUGACAUUCUCCUGGCAACUGUAAUUGAAUCAAUGAUGACUCAUCUGAGAUGAGCAAGUUGGUCCAGUCAGACCAAACAAAAGACAUUCUAUAAUCAGGGGAGAAGUCUUCUCUAUAUCUCUCUUAUAUGAGCAAAUUUAAUGACCUCCACCAUCUCUAAGAACAAGCAGCUAUUUCUGUAGAGAAAGAUCAUCUUUGGAUAACAAUACAUGAUUUUAGGCUCUAAAAGUUAAAACGUGUUUGUAACGUUGAUAUUAUGCAGAGGUCUUGACAGAACUUGGCAGUCUCUGAGGCUACAGAGAAGUGUGAAAAAGAGCAUAGAGAUUUCAGAAGGAGGCAGAUUCAGUCAGACGUACUGAAUCCCGUUUGAUCUCAACUCAGGCACACUCCAGAUGGAC